ensembl:lncRNA
CAGCACCAGAGUGGAGGAGGGGGGCUUUGGCUUCAGGGGAACUCUCUCGGAUGAAGAAAUUCAUGUUUUCCUAACAUUUCCAGUUCUGAUCUGGUUCUCACUGCCAGAUGAAAUCCUGGAAAUCCAUUCUCCAUGGAAUUAUGCUUUUAAAAAAUCACUUAGCACGGGCUUUGUUUUUCUUCCAUAGGUGGAGAGAGGGACUCCAACACGUCGAUGGCCGGCCCCUGAUGAGCACGCUGAAGUCCCAAGGGGGCUCGUGUUGGAGUAUGAGGCCCCUUCAGCGCGUCCAGCUUGUGGAGGAGGUAAAAGAAUGUCAAGUGAGACUUCAAGGGGGAAUACUUCAUAACCCAAGUAUGUUUUCCUUAGGGCAAUAAACCACGGCUACAUCUCUUCCUGGCUCCAGCCCUCUAACUCCCAGCCAGACCUUCAUCUGUUUUCCAGAGAAACAAUAACAACAACAAAAAUGGAGGUGUUUUCUCCAAAUGUGCGGUGGAGCAAGUUGGGCUUUAAACUUUAGACAUCCAGACGGAGACCUGUUUUGGGCAGCGGUGGGAGCUGAGUGGAGUUUUUCUGUCUGUGUCAUUGAAAACAUCACCCAGCAAGGCCCUUGGCCCCAGCAGGUGACCCAGUGGUAACCAGGACACAGAGCCAGGCCUGCCCCUCAACCUGAGCAACCGUUAGGUUCUCAGAGCCCUUGGUGAGCGGAGCAGAGGGUAGGGCCUGUGGAGGGACUCGAGUUAAGUAGGAACCAUAAUGGACCAGCUUGAUUGUGCUCAGUCCUGGGGUCAGAACAGGGCAGCAGGCGUACUUUCCACUAACCGAGGAAGAGUGAUCAGCAGAGGAAUAAAACCACUGGGAAGACCUCCCUGCGUCCUCAGCAGGACGUGCUCCUGGGCAGCUGCAAGGGUCAAGGCUGAGGGCUGCUCUGAUCUCUAGAGACUGUUGUCCUGCCCACCCCACAUUCCUGUCCCUAUGCACCCCGUGCCUGGCAUCUCAGGGCAUGCUCAAGUAGACACUUGGGAGGACAGAAUGAGCAAGUGACUGAGUGAAGGAGCAAUGGUGCACAUACAUUGGCCUUGCUGCUCUGGAUGACGGCUGGCCUUUGUCCAAACCCACACAGGGUCCCCGGGCCCAGAGCCGGAGAAGAGUCCUGGCCAGGAAGGAAAGGAGCUAGUUCUACUGUCACAGCCAUAGGAGACCCAGUAUGUCUGUCCAGACUCCUGAGAAGUUGUGCAACACUGCAUACCCCAAGGCCAAGCACACACUCAGAAGAAAGGGUGACAUCAGCAGUUGGGGACCAGAAGGAACAUCCUUGAAACCACCAAAGUGACAUGAGCCAGUCUGUAGCAGAAGGAAACCUGGGAUUUGGAGAAGGGGCUGUCAAGACUGCACAUCCAGGUGGGAGCAGAUGAACAGGAAGGGGAACGUAUACCCUGGGCCCCUGGAGAGCCAGGUGGGCCUACAUCUAGCUGGGUUUGCCCAGACCAGUAGGGGUCAGAAAGGCACCAUGUCCAGCAGCCACUACAUCAGUGAUGUCGGAGUGCAAACAACCACACAAAAACAGAGGCGGUGCAGCUAGAGUGGCAGCCUACCUGGCACUCAGCCCAGCCAGCUCCUUCCUAGGAGGGUGGCUUCAGCCCUAAGCAGUGCUCAGCAGUGCCUUGCACCUGGUCUAGUGUCCUGCUGUCACUAUUUUGGAUGUCUUAGUAUUUUUUGAACACACAUCCCUGCAUCUCCAUUUUACACUAGGGCCUGCAAGGUCUGUAGCUGGUCCUGCCUGGAAUGGACAGGCAGUAGACAAAGAAGGACCCCUCCAGGCGUGGGCGACAGUGCCUUCACACACACCUAGGUUUCUAUUACCUGCUCUCUGCCUUCCUGGUGUGGCUUUGGGCCUCACAGGGUUACCAGGCGUAUGCGACCUCACAUCGUCCCCAAGGUGACAUUGCUUAGGAGAUAGUGAAGCACAUGAACCGGGGGCACUGGUCACUUAUCUAAAGCUACCACUAACUAUGGCUACAAAGCCCCACUGAAGAAGCCUAAGCCCUCACAAACAGGAGCAAUUUUCCAAUUUUCCAAUGUGGGAAAAUGACCACCAGCCUCUGAAGGACCCCACUUCCCCCUGGGAAAAGCAAAGGCCCCCAAACCUGAGGAUGCCUCCUUUCUCCACUGCCUGACUCUGAGCCCCAGGUCCCUCCUGCAAGGGAAGAGGCAGAAGCGCCUGAUAAGUGGCCUCCAGUUAGGUGUUCUUCACUGGCGUGGGCUGUGUGCACCUCACUACCACAGACAGGAGUGGGAGAGCCCAGCCGGGACACUCGGGUGGCCCCCUGUCAGGUCCUAUUCAUGUGGUCAAGUGCAAGGUAUGGCCUGGCCUUCCAGGUCCUGCCACAACCCAGCAUGGAGUCUAUUUUGUGGUGGGUUCUCCCUCCAUCCCACUGGGCCACCCCUGGGCCAGUCCCUUGAGCAUGUCUAACUGGGCUUGUGGCUUUUUCCUGCCACUCAGAAGCUCCAGUUUGAGAUCUGUUCUGGCUCCUCUAAAAAGCCCACCUAUUCCCCCCACAAAUUCCUCUGUUACUCCCUGUGCAAAUGUGGUGCUGACUUCUGAGCUCUUGGUUCACACUGUCAGCUUAGUGUGUAAGAACAGACUGGAACCCAGGCCACUUGGAUCUGAAUCCCAACACGACACAUUUCUUAUGGGGACCAGACAUCCCUGCGCCAGGAGACAAAAUGAGGUAGUGCAUGAAAAGACAUAAAGAAAUGAAACUUGGAUCAUCAUAGUAAUAACAGUUGGUUUCCCUGCUUAUGUUAAAAACAUAGACCAAAGGCACCAUUAGAGAACAGACAUCAAUAAAGAGUUAUCCUGGUAGUUGGAUAACAGCAGGUGAGCUUGGAAAGCCAUUAUGACUGAGCAUGAGCACAUAAAAAGAGCAAACUAUACCCACGAGAGCCACACACAGACCUAGACUCGGAGGGGACCUGAAGCAUGGCCACCGCAGACCUGCAUGGACAACAGGUCUUACGAUCAGCAAUUCUUCAGUGACUGUCCACUUCUGCAGGAACACAUCCACAAAGUUUGAUUGCCAAGUCAAAUAACAACAUACUCUACUUUAUAAGAAACUGACAAACUUCUUUCCCAAUUUUCCAGUAUGGGAAAAUUCGAGUCCUUCCACAUUCUCACCAACAUUUGGUGAUGUCUCUUACAUUUUACCCAUUGUGGUGAGGACAGUUGUAUCUUGUUGUGGUUUUAACAUUCAUCACCCUGAUGAUUAAUGAUGCUUCAUGUUCAUUACUCUUUUUUUUCUAAUCUGUUUUUAAUCUCAUACAGUAAAAUUCUCAUUUCUAAC